rnacentral:rRNA from 1 species
UACGUAGGGGGCAAGCGUUGUCCGGAUUUAUUGGGCGUAAAGAGCGUGUAGGCGGCCAGAUAGGUCAGCUGUGAAAACUCGAGGCUCAACCUCGAGAUGUCGGCUGAAACCAUCUGGCUAGAGUCCGGAAGAGGAGAAUGGAAUUCCCGGUGUAGCGGUGAAAUGCGCAGAUAUCGGGAAGAACACCCGUGGCGAAGGCAGCUUGCUGGGACGGUACUGACGCUGAGACGCGAAAGCGUGGGGAGCAAACAGG